ensembl:snoRNA SNORA70 Small nucleolar RNA SNORA70
UUGCAGCCAGUUAAGCCGACUGUGCUCUUUUCCCCAUGGGGGCCCGGUGCGCAAGGGCUGCAAACAGCAGCCUCCUCGGCAGUGUAUGCAGCCUGUUGCCUGUAUGGGUUGCCCUAAGGGACCUUGGAGACAGCC